rnacentral:rRNA from 1 species
CCUACGGGAGGCAGCAGUGGGGAAUUUUGGACAAUGGGCGCAAGCCUGAUCCAGCCAUGCCGCGUGAGUGAAGAAGGCCUUCGGGUUGUAAAGCUCUUUCAGCCGGGAAGAAAACGCAUGGGUUAAUACCCUGUGUGGAUGACGGUACCGGAAUAAGAAGCACCGNAU